GUUGACUAUGUGAUAUUCGCGAAGUGAGGGAAAACCUAAUGACUUCAGGUAAUUGUUGUAGAUGAUGUCAGGUCCAUGAGUAUGUUUCCUGCAGGAGACUUGCAAGAAGUCUCCCCAACACUUUGGGCUCCCCCAGUUCUAACAAGAACUGAGACCAACUCCUUUAUAAAUUUCAUGCUAAAACACGUGGUCCUAAAAUCUCUAACAAGCAGUCCUACAUCACAAUGGAAAUUCAUCUGUGGUAUUAUUUAAGGGUACGCGAAUGAAGAUUAUUGUUUCUCUAAUUAUUAGACUUUAAAAGCUCUUUAAGUCCUUUUUCUUUCAAGCAUUCGAAUAGGCUUUUGUCAUCAGAAACGAGCAACCAAAUAAAGUAACAGAGUUCAAAAUAUCAAUUUCUCAGAAAUCCCAGUACUUGGUGCACAAAUAAAUUCUCGACAAGCAAAUUUAUUCCACCUGAAACCAAAUAACUAAAAUUCCAAAACUCAAAACUUUAAUCUCUUUUUCUCAUU
rnacentral:misc_RNA from 1 species